rnacentral:ncRNA from 2 species
UUUUAUCACCAGGGGUGCUAAACCAUCAAUUGGUUUGGCUGAGAAUAACCCUUUGUACCUGCUCUGGAUAAUACCAGCGAAGGAAGAGUGGACUAUGUUAGCA